rnacentral:rRNA from 1 species
UACGUAGGGACCGAGCGUUGUCCGGAUUCGUUGGGCGUAAAGAGCUCGUAGGCGGCCACUCAAGUCGGAUGUGAAACCUCGAGGCUUAACCUCGAGCCUGCAUUCGAUACGGGCAGGCUAGAGUUCGGUAGGGGAGAUCGGAAUUCCUGGUGUAGCGGUGAAAUGCGCAGAUAUCAGGAGGAACACCGGUGGCGAAGGCGGAUCUCUGGGCCGAUACUGACGCUGAGGAGCGAAAGCGUGGGGAGCGAACAGG